UAAUUUAUUGUGCAAAGAAAAUUCUUAUUUGUGAACAAAAAUUUAAAAAUUAUGAAAUACUAAUUUUGAAGGUGAUUGCAAGUAGACAGCGCAGUGGAAACCACGCUCGUAAAAAGCAUGGAUUUUAUUCAAGCGUAAAAGAAACUGAAACUACAUAUUUAUGAAAUCCACUCGGUUUACUCAAGAGCAGUUCAAAAUUUUGUUGCUUUUACAAAUUUUAUUUGAAGCUUGAGAUAGCAAUUAUAUCUCUACUUUUGUCGACGUUGGCGCAUUAUGAAAACAUAUCUUGUACAAGUAUCCCACUAUGUUGCAUAAUUUUUACUAAUUUUGCAUACAUAUGUACUUCUCGUUGCUCGUAUUAGUAACAAUAGUGCUUCAUAAUUUCCGGAGGUUCGGUAAGAUGAACUCUUCUACUCCAGAGGAAACAGACAAUUGUAAUAUGGCGAUUUUAAACAAACGUGAUUUACUAUCUGCUAAUACAUCGAGCCAAUCAGCUCUUAAUUUUAGAAAUGAACUUUGUGAAUAUUUAAUUUCUUCAGAAAUAUAAUGAUGAUAUGAGGUUGUAAUAGCAAUAAAGAGAUAAUAUGAAUAACCACAA